UGAAAAAUUCCUAAGAUGGUG
rnacentral:piRNA from 1 species